GAUGAAACGCUGGCGGCGUGCUUAACACAUGCAAGUCGAAACGGAGUGCCUUUGAAAGAGGAUUCGUCCAAUUGAUAAGGUUACUUAGUGGCGGACGGGUGAGUAAACGCGUGAGGAACCUGCCUUGGAGUGGGGAAUAACACAGUGAAAAUUGUGCUAAUACCGCAUAAUGCAGUUGGGUCGCAUGACUCUGACUGCCAAAGAUUUAUCGCCCUGAGAUGGCCUCGCGUCUGAUUAGCUAGUUGGUGGGGUAACGGCCCACCAAGGCGACGAUCAGUAGCCGGACUGAGAGGUUGGCGGCCACAUUGGGACUGAGACACGGCCAGACUCCUACGGGAGACAGCAGUGGGAAUAUUGCACAAUGGGCGAAAGCCUGAUGCAGCGACGCCGCGUGAGCGAUGAAGUAUUUCGGUAUGUAAAGCUCUAUCAGCAGGGAAG
rnacentral:rRNA from 1 species